GCAACCCUUAUCCUUUGUUGCCAGCACGUAAUGGUGGGAACUCAAAGGAGACUGCCGGUGAUAAACCGGAGGAAGGUGGGGAUGACGUCAAGUCAUCAUGGCCCUUACGAGUAGGGCUACACACGUUCUACAAUGGCAGAUACAAAGAGAAGCGACCUCGCGAGAGCAAGCGGAACUCAUAAAGUCUGUCGUAGUCCGGAUUGGAGUCUUCAACU
rnacentral:rRNA from 1 species